CAGCAGCCGCGGUAAUACGAAGGGUGCAAGCGUUAAUCGGAAUUACUGGGCGUAAAGCGUGCGUAGGCGGUUUGUUAAGUCUGUUGUGAAAUCCCCGGGCUCAACCUGGGAAUGGCAAUGGAUACUGGCAAGCUAGAGUGUGUCAGAGGAUGGUGGAAUUCCCGGUGUAGCGGUGAAAUGCGUAGAGAUCGGGAGGAACAUCAGUGGCGAAGGCGGCCAUCUGGGACAACACUGACGCUGAGGCACGAAAGCGUGGGGAGCAAACAGGAUUAGAUACCCCAGUAGUCCCUGUCUCUUAUAC
rnacentral:rRNA from 1 species